rnacentral:rRNA from 1 species
GAUGAACGCUGGCGGCGUGCCUAAUACAUGCAAGUCGAGCGAACAGAUGAGGAGCUUGCUCCUCUGACGUUAUCGGCGGACGGGUGAGUAACACGUGGAUAACCUACCUAUAAGACUGGGCUAACUUCGGGAAACCGGAGCUAAUACCGGAUAAUAUAUUGAACCGCAUGGUUCAAUAGUGAAAGACGGUUUUGCUGUCACUUAUAGAUGGAUCCGCGCCGCAUUAGCUAGUUGGUAAGGUAACGGCUUACCAAGGCAACGAUGCGUAGCCGACCUGGGAGGGUGAUCGGCCACACUGGAACUGAGACACGGUCCAGACUCAGACGGGAGGCAGCAGUAGGGAAUCUUCCGCAAUGGGCGAAAGCCGGACGGAGCAACGCCGCGUGAGUGAUGAAGGUCUUCGGAUCGUAAAACUCUGUUAUUAGGGAAGAAGAAAUGGGUAAGUAACUAUGCACGUCUUGACGGUACCUAAACAGAAAGCCACGGCUAACUACGUG